AUGGUUCAAAUUUUAAUAGUCCAAAACCGGAGAUGUAAAGCAAAUAAACUCUCGCAUGCAGGAAGACUCACCCUAAUUAAUUCUUUUUUUGCUUCAAUCCCUAUUUAUUAUAUGUCUAACAUUCUUUUUCCUAAGAAAUUCUUGUCAAAGCUUAAUGCUAUCAUUAGAAAAUUUUGGUGGACAGGGAUAAAAGAAGAAACCAGUGCUAAAUCUCUUUGCCUUAGAGCCUGGAAGGACAUAUGUUCCCCUCAGAAUGAAGGUGGAUUAGGUAUCAAGAACAUGCAAGCCACUAACAGAGCUAUGAUU
rnacentral:rRNA from 1 species